rnacentral:tRNA from 1 species
GCCACCAUGACCUAAUGGAUAAGGCAUCUGUCUCCUAAUUCGGGGAUUGCGGGUUCGAGUCCCACCGGGGGUA